rnacentral:rRNA from 1 species
GCGCGAAAACUUUACAAUGCGGGCAACCGUGAUAAGGAAACCCCGAGUGCCAGCACAGGCUGGCUGUCCGCCAGUGUACAAAACUGGUGAAGAAAGGGCCGGGCAAGACCGGUGCCAGCCGCCGCGGUAAUACCGGCGGCUCGAGUGGUGGCCGCUUUUACUGGGCUUAAAGGGUCCGUAGCUGGAUUGACAAGUCCCUUGAGAAAUCUAUCGGCUUAACUGAUAGGCGUUCAGGGGAAACUGUUAUUCUAGGGACCGGGAGAGGUGAGAGGUACUGCCGGGGUAGGAGUGAAAUCCUGUAAUCCCGGUGGGACGACCUAUGGCGAAGGCAUCUCACCAGAACGGCUCCGACAGUGAGGGACGAAAGCUGGGGGAGCAAACCGG